GAUGAACGCUGGCGGCGUGCCUAAUACAUGCAAGUCGAGCGAACAGACGAGGAGCUUGCUCCUCUGACGUUAGCGGCGGACGGGUGAGUAACACGUGGAUAACCUACCUAUAAGACUGGGAUAACUUCGGGAAACCGGAGCUAAUACCGGAUAAUAUAUUGAACCGCAUGGUUCAAUAGUGAAAGACGGUUUUGCUGUCACUUAUAGAUGGAUCCGCGCCGCAUUAGCUAGUUGGUAAGGUAACGGCUUACCAAGGCAACGAUGCGUAGCCGACCUGAGAGGGUGAUCGGCCACACUGGAACUGGAACACGGUCCAGACUCCUACGGGAGGCAGCAGUAGGGAAUCUUCCGCAAUGGGCGAAAGCCUGACGGAGCAACGCCGCGUGAGUGAUGAAGGUCUUCGGAUCGUAAAACUCUGUUAUUAGGGAAGAACAAAUGUGUAAGUAACUAUGCACGUCUUGACGGUACCGAAUCAGAAAGCCACGGCUAACUACGUG
rnacentral:rRNA from 1 species